rnacentral:lncRNA from 7 species
AGGGCACUGCUCCAGAGCACUCUGCUUUGCCAUGACACCCAGGUGCAGGCAUCCUGGCUCGGGCUGAUUCCUCACAUCCAACCUUGACUCCUCAGCCCUGGGUAUGGUGGGGAUCAGAGGCGGGCACUGAGCUCCGGGAACAUCCCUGCUGCUGUGAGGCCAACUUCCCCCACUGCGAUGUCCACGGGGAAAUAAGAGCAAACAGGCAUUGGCGUUGCUGUAGUGACUCUGAGGUUGGACUUGUGGGAAAGGAAAAGGUUACAGGAAUCGGGGUGCACCCAAAGUGUUCAUUUUUUAAGAAAACCCCUCAAUUGGUACUAUCUAAAAAAAAAAAAAGAAGCUUUCUUUGCUUGCGCAGAGAGGCGUGGAUGACCUCAUGUGCUGUGUGGGGCAUUUGGAGACCACUCCUGUGCUGAACUGUAGGACACGGGACCCACGAAGGUGCACUGCCCUUGCACAUGGGCCUCAUGAUGUAAAAGAAGGAGUAGGUCAAAAAUCUGACAUAUUUCUCCUCCCUUUUGCCUUUUGCCACUACUCUCCUAACCAAACUUGUGCUUUCAACUCACGUCCUCCUGGCUUUGCCCCUUCUUCCUUCUUCAGAUUGCUGAGCUUCUUCAUGGGAUACAGCAAGUAACCAGACCCUGCCCUGGCCUGUGGCUGAACCCAAAUACACUCACAUUUCCCCACAAAACCCCCUGUGAUCUCCACAGCUGGCAGCCAUCUGACACCGGGUCCUCAGCACCACUGACUGCAGUGCCCUCAGGAAUGCCCGUCUCAGAUCUCCUCCACUUUCCCUCUUCCUUCUGCUCUUACCAAUAAUUAUGGUUCAGGAUGUGACAAAGCCAUCAUUGUCCCAGCCCUCCAAGGACAACACGAGGAAAAUGCCAUACAAACUCACCAGAGGAGAGAACCAUCGCUUAGUUUGGCUAAGGCAGCUUUUUGACAGACCAACCUGCUCCGUGGAUAAUGAGCCUUUCUAGUCGUCCAUGAUUUAUUGUGAAAACAAAACACUGGAUAAAGUGCUGGGCAGACUGAGAAGGAAGACUUGCAGAGUGUUUGUAUUUCCAUGGUGCACAAGGGAACCCGAGGCCGAGGAGGUGAAAUAAAUGCCCAGAGUCAGCUGGGCAAUGGGCAGAAGAGGACACCCAGGCACUGUAUGCCCCGAACUGGAGAGGUAGCAGUGAGUGCUGUCGGAUGGAUAACCUGAAUUAGGCUGAUUUCUAAAGGAUCCUUUCACCAAAAGUCUUCUGUCAGAAGCAGACGUCAGGCAGCCCCCCCCGCCAGCUUCCUAAGCUUUCACACUGCCAGAGAGGAAUUGCUCUCUUUGACAAAGCUUUCAAAUCCAGUCAGGCUGAAUCUGCUUUCCCUUCUGGAUUUCAGUUAUUAACCAUUCUUUUUAUCUCUGGUGCAUCCAACCACCAUAUGUUCUUAAAUAAAGCCACUUUCCCCUUCUUCCUUUUGUGCUCUGAGGCAAAUAGAAUUGCUGGAAAUGGAGACAUGCAGAAGGGUGCCCCUCCUUUGGCAAAUGCAGGAUUUCCAGGUAAACCUUCAGUGCAGUUUUGCUGAAGCGCAUCAUGUACUGCAGAGUGCUUUUAUAUACCAUUUACUUGCAGGCAUGUAAUGAAAUAUCCUUUCUUUGUCCCAGCCUGGUUCCAAUUCUGUCACAGAGAAAUAAAAGAAUUCUGAU